rnacentral:rRNA from 1 species
AAAUUGAAGAGUUUGAUCAUGGCUCAGAUUGAACGCUGGCGGCAGGCCUAACACAUGCAAGUCGAACGGUAACAGGAAGCAGCUUGCUGCUUUGCUGACGAGUGGCGGACGGGUGAGUAAUGUCUGGGAAACUGCCUGAUGGAGGGGGAUAACUACUGGAAACGGUAGCUAAUACCGCAUAACGUCGCAAGACCAAAGAGGGGGACCUUCGGGCCUCUUGCCAUCGGAUGUGCCCAGAUGGGAUUAGCUUGUUGGUGGGGUAACGGCUCACCAAGGCGACGAUCCCUAGCUGGUCUGAGAGGAUGACCAGCCACACUGGAACUGAGACACGGUCCAGACUCCUACGGGAG